UAUUUAUGUCCUGCAUGGACGCAAUAUUUAGCCGGAUUAAUCAUCCGGCUCUUUUUUUAGAGAGA
rnacentral:misc_RNA from 1 species